rnacentral:rRNA from 1 species
AUUGAACGCUGGCGGCAGGCCUAACACAUGCAAGUCGAGCGAGCGGCGGACGGGUGAGUAAUGUCUGGGAAACUGCCCGAUGGAGGGGGAUAACUACUGGAAACGGUAGCUAAUACCGCAUACUAUCAGAUGUGCCCAGAUGGGAUUAGCUAGUAGGGGGGGUAAUGGCUCACCUAGGCGACGAUCCCUAGCUGGUCUGAGAGGAUGACCAGCAACACUGGAACGAGGACACGGUCCAGACUCCUACGGGAGGCAGCAGAGGGAAAUAUUGGACAAUGAGCGCAAGCCUGAUGCGGCCAUGCCGCGUGUGUGAAGAGGGCCUUCGGGUUGUAAAGCACUUUCAGCGAGGAGGCGUUACCCGCAGAAGAAGCACCGGCUAACUCCGUGCCAGCAGCCGCGGUAAUUC